UACAGAGGGUGCAAGCGUUAAUCGGAGUUACUGGGCGUAAAGGGCGCGUAGGCGGUAGAUUGAGUGAGAUGUGAAAUCCCUGGGCUUAACCUAGGAACUGCAUCUCAUACUGAUUUGCUAGAGUAUUGUAGAGGGUAGUGGAAUUUCCGGUGUAGCGGUGAAAUGCGUAGAGAUCGGAAGGAACACCAGUGGCGAAGGCGGCUACCUGGACAAAUACUGACGCUGAGGCGCGAGAGCGUGGGGAGCAAACAGG
rnacentral:rRNA from 1 species